AUGAACGCUGGCGGCGUGCCUAAUACCUGCAAGUCGAGCGAACGGACGAGAAGCUUGCUUCUCUGAUGUUAGCGGCGGACGGGUGAGUAACACGUGGAUAACCUACCUAUAAGACUGGGAUAACUUCGGGAAACCGGAGCUAAUACCGGAUGAUAUUUUGAACCGCAUGGUUCAAAAGUGAAAGACGGUCUUGCUGUCACUUAUAGAUGGAUCCGCGCUGCAUUAGCUAGUUGGUAAGGUAACGGCCUACCAAGGCAACGAUGCAUAGCCGACCUGAGAGGGUGAUCGGCCACACUGGAACUGAGACACGGUCCAGACUCCUACGGGAGGCAGCAGUAGGGAAUCUUCCGCAAUGGGCGAAAGCCUGACGGAGCAACGCCGCGUGAGUGAUGAAGGUCUUCGGAUCGUAAAACUCUGUUAUUAGGGAAGAACAUAUGUGUAAGUAACUGUGCACAUCUUGACGGUACCUAAUCAGAAAGCCACGGCUAACUACGUG
rnacentral:rRNA from 1 species